AUUCAAUCAUAUGGAUUAUCAUGUCCGCUGCAAUGUGAAUGACUCCAAGAGAACGACAACAGUAAAAACUUUGCAUGUUAUUUUUAUUGUUAGCUAAUCAGGAAAACGUAGAAAGAUCAUGAUUUUCAAUCUGCUGCAGCCAAAACAUACAUAUGCCCAACUGUCUAACUCUACAGCUGAAUAAUUAUGCUGAUUUUAAUUAAACUUGCUACAUGAAACAGUGCAAGAAACAAAACCCAAAACAAAUUAGGCUGAGAAUAAUACUGAAGCAUAACCACAAUUCAUUCCUGAAAUAUUUUUGCCUCCAAAGGGGGAAAAGCCAUUCCUGAGAAGUUUUGGUUUUGACAUUAACAAAAAUACUGGAUGGGGGAGGGAGGUUUAAAAAAAAAAAGCAAAAGUCAUGCGGUCAUUUUGCAAGUAUAUUUUGAUUGUUUCAGGCAGGGUUAAAAAGCCCCUGAUGUAGACAAGGAGAGAUAUCCAACCCGACUGGAUGUGACACAAGUUUAUUCCAAACACCGCUGCUUUGAACUCCACAGCCAUGGUCAAAACAUAUUCUUACGCUUCAGAGCAGCCGGUCAAAUAUAAGCUUCUUCACAGAAUAUCAUAUCUAUAUAUGAAAAGGCUACUGAAAAGAUAGUAGUAAAUUCGGGACUUGGGCCAGCACCCUUUUCGACACCGGUAGAGUGGAAAGCUCUACUGGUUGUAACACAGGAGUCACCUGGCUGCUGUUGUGGGGGAAAAAAAGCUCCUUCAUGAAGUGAAGUUCCAUUAUGCAACUGGUAUGACUGAAGAAAAUCCUCCCCCUAUGUUGGUUUAAUACACUUGCAAAUAAAAAAAACAUAAAUUGUAUAAUGCAAAAGUUGAAGUGGUGCUAAAUAAAGCUGAGUAGACGGCCACAUGACUUGCUUUCUGCACAUUGUGAGUAGGACCUAGGAUAUGAAGUGAGAACAGAACUAGAUGAUACAACUAACACAAAGCUGCCAUAGAAGAGAACACUCCAGCAUCUCCAUUGCUCUGUUUCUAGGAAUACAAAGCACAUGGUGUGAAAUCUGUUGAGUGUCCCUGUAAGCAGCAAAGGAGGAAGAAGGAAAUGCAGAAUAACCAUCUCAUGGCACGUUUUUUCAAUUACACUAAACAUUAUAGGUGAGCAAGGAGGAGGGAUGUGUUUGCUCUAGUGGUAAUUCCUGCGCUUUCACCAAAAACUAUGAGCCCAAGAAGGCUUCAUAUUUGAGACUAAGCAAUUCUCUAAAAAAAAAAUUAAAACAACAAGAAAAUCCCUUUUUCCAAAAACUCCAAUAAGAGGUUAAUUUGAGUUAGCAAAAAGGCAAUAGGCUAGGAUUGCUUUUUGGGGACACUGGUGAGUAGAAAGACCGCCAAUACUACUUGAGAACAGGAGAAACUUGCUGAUUUCCAAGUGCUGAUGAGAACGAGAGGAAUUACUCUUCUUUCCCAAAAUUAUGUAAACUGGGCCACCUUUUGUAGCUCCUGUGUUACUUCUAUGUUCCUGUAUUUGUAUUUUUAAUUUAAUAGGAGCAAAUUCAAAAACUUCUGCAUUUUAUCAAGUAAUCUCUCCUCCACCAUUUACUGGUGAACACCCAAACCCUGUUCUUUUACAUGUACUGUGCCUGCCCCACCAUGUAUCUACAUUUUUUUUAA